rnacentral:rRNA from 1 species
UACGAAGGGGGGCUAGCGUUGCUCGGAAUCACUGGGCGUAAAGGGUGCGUAGGCGGGUUUUUAAGUCAGGGGUGAAAUCCUGGAGCUCAACUCCAGAACUGCCUUUGAUACUGAAGAUCUUGAGUCCGGGAGAGGUGAGUGGAACUGCGAGUGUAGAGGUGAAAUUCGUAGAUAUUCGCAAGGACACCAGUGGCGAAGGCGGCUCACUGGCCCGGUACUGACGCUGAGGCACGAAAGCGUGGGGAGCAAACAGG